AUUCCUUCUCCCUGUGGAGUUUUACCCCCUGCUCCUCAGGCCACCCUCCCAAAGGAUCCCUGUGGUGCCAGACAGGAAUGGGCUGCUAGGGGACCCAGCAAGCUCCCAGGGCCUUACUGCUGCUUCCUCUCCCCCUGUUUUUCGCUGGGCUCUCCAACUUGACUCUGCUCCAGGUGGAAAAUGAGCUUAUAUAUGAAGAAGUCAGCGAGUGGACAAAGCCAGGCGCAAUGGAUAGCAAAGAUGUGGAAGUCUCCUCGAUUCAAGUUACAAGAAAACCGCAGCAUGGAGUCUGCUCUCAGCUGUUGGGGAAUUACCGAUGCCUUUGACUAAGUCAAGACUGACUUUUCCAGAAUAUCACCCAAGAGAUAGAGCCGUCCCUGUCCAAGUUUGUGCGCUAGCCCUUCAUGGAGGUCAGAGAGGAAGAAACAAAGGCAGCUGUGGCCUCGGCGGUCACAGUGUCAGAACGCACAAGCCCCAUAAAGAGGUUUCACGCAGGCCACCCAUCCCUUUUCAUUCUCCAGCAGAACAGGACAGAGAGCGUUCUGUUCUGCGGAAGGUCUUCCACUCUACAAGGCAAUCCCUCCAGCUGCUUUGCUGUAUUGUGCUGUCUCCUGUCACACUAUGAAUGCAGUGACCUCAGCCAGCAACAGGGAGAACCCCCCUGCCUCCCGAACAAAGGACCUCACGUGAAAUCCUGAGCUCAGAGCUUACAGAUAUGUGUGCGCUUUCACUUUACAUCGGCCGUGACUUCCAAACAACUUCAGGAAACUUUAGGAUCUCUGAGGUAUACUGGAGAUGACAGCAGCGUAGAAUGUUCAUUUGGAUUUAGAACAGAAAUGCUUAUUUUAUAUUUGGCUGCUCCCAAACUGUCCCCAGACUUCCUCUCCAGUGGUUACCCUCCACUGCCCUGGAUGUCCCACGUUUACACUCCACACUCACACCUCCACCUUAACAAAGUCCUCCACUGGGUCAAACCAUACAUCGCUUCGUCUCUGUAGUGAUGACUUCCUGUCCUCUGCUCUGUGGAUAAAGACCCCAGAUAAAGAUGCCUGUGUUGCUCAACUCUUGUAAAUACUCUUGAGACAUUUUGAAAGCAGAAGGAAAGGAGACAGACGGGGAAAAUAAAAGGGAUGGUCUGCUUGUGCGGAAACGUUUUGAGAAUGCCCUUCCCUAAGAGAGAACAGUAAAAGUGAGCAAUACUUCC
ensembl:lncRNA SERPINB9P1 serpin family B member 9 pseudogene 1